CCCCGGGGGUCCCCCCGCGGGUCCGCGGCGCAGCGAGGGACAAGGGUGCCUUUGUUUCGGGGAGAGGAGGUCGGGGGGCCGGGUGGGGUCCCGCCUGUGUGUAGUCGUGUCCGUCCCCCCCCCGCCCCGUGCGGUGGCAGGAGGACUUACUCAUGAGGCCAAAACUUCAGAUCUCAGAGAAGAGAGGAUGGUUUGGAGUAGAGGACCAGCGUGGAUAUCCAUGUCUGGACCAGGUUACCUCUGCAUCUGUCUCUGUUGCAAUGGCAGAAAGCACAAGCCAGGAUGGUGUGCAGACUGUUUUAAUUUGUGCUGGGGACUGUCUUUGGCUCUAUGAAUAAGAAAGCAUCUUUAAAUACUCCCUGCCUCUACUGAGCUGAGUGCUCCUGAUUUCCAGCCCUGCAGUGCAGGUAUGCACUUGGCCAGCAGGAUCAGAACUGGGCCUCCGAGGCAAUCUUCCCUGACCGUGCUGUUAACUUGUUGUAAGAUAUGGAGCUGUUUGUGCCUGAAAGCCGGAGCAGACCCCGAAUGAGCAUGCUAAAGGCAACACAAAACCCCAAGACAUUGUUUUCCAGUACACGAGCAGAAGCUUUUGGCUGCUGCAGAAGAGUUUCCCCUCUGUCUCGUAUGAAGCUGCUGUAAAGUAUUUGCCAGUGCCUUGAUGUUCUCCUACCCAAAGGGAAUUAAUCGCCAAGAUGGAAUGAAGAGUACAGCACAGAAAGCAGGCAUGGUCUAGACCUCAUGGGACUAACUAUGCUCUUAAAGGAGAGAGCAGUAUUCCUCUGGCAAAGUUGAGAGCCUACCUGCUGCUCAAGUCACACCCACUGCGCUGGACCUUACAAGAAACGUGGGGUAGCAGAGCAGUUCCCUGCUGAGAGGCAGGACAGCGGUUCCGCGGCUCCUGGGAGGACCGAAGGUCCAUCCUGGAGAGGAUGCCUUCUGCCAAGGGCAGCGUGCAGGGACGCGCCGGUCCUUGGGAGGGCUGCCCAGGCAGCGCCUGUCUGCGUCUCCUCAUCCUGCAGCCAGAACUUUGCUGUGGUAGUGACCGGUCCCACUGACGCUAACGAGAUGUCCACAUCCUUAGCUGACCUCGGGAAAGACUUCCAAGCUGAAGGCUGCACCUCCUGCUUCCCGGUGAGACCCAAGCUGUAAGCACGCCAGGGAUGCAAUGUUGAACUGUGAAAGUCUUCCUAGAAAAGCUCUUUUCUAAGAGGGACUGAAUUGCUAAACUUGGUUACUCACAGAAGCUGCUCUAGAAAAGCCUGCAAGAGCAAAUGAAAAUGUAUCAUCACAACACUGAAUUAAGAGUCAAGGAAAAUAUUGUUGGUAAGAAGCUGGACACACUGAAGAUAUUCAAGACUGAUGGACCAGAACCUCUUGCAUCCAUACCUGUGACAAACAAAAAAGAUGAACUGCUUACGCCAAUACAUAGUUUGGGAGAAGAGAACUACUCAACAUUGCUGACUACGGUGGAAGAUGUUCUGCAAGCGCUGAGUGAUUAUUCUGUCAGGAAACUUAACUGCAGUUGGUGUCCUAUAUUUGAAAGGAUGGGAGCUGCGUCUGGACGUCACAGCCCGCUGCUCCAGAGGAUCAGGCAAGAGGAGGGGUUUAAGAGCAACAAAGCUCUCGGAGGGACGCGGGCGUAUGGCUCACCUCCACAGCGCUACGGCUGCGCUGGAAUUUUCAGCGUCAUUUGUUGGCUCUUCCCGGCAAACCAACUUUGUUAACCACACUGCCCUCACCUUCUUUGAUAAAAACAACCCCCUAAGUGCUUUACUUCAGUAAAAUUAACCAGCUUUAUCAAAAUUCAGCUUAUCCUUGUGUACUUAGCAAUGUUUGUUAUCCGUAGGGGAACCUGAAAUUAUCAUGGGAGACAGAGUAUGCAGUUAGAAACUCUCCGUGGUAUGUUUUCAGCUCAGCUACCAUCUAUGAAGCUAGGUGGCUUAUCUAAACAUGUAUUUCUUGCCAAUAUGACUCGGAACACUGCAUAGUCAGAUCUUCAGCAUAAAUCUUUUAUGCAGGAAUAUAUCAUGUGGGAUCCAGCUGUAGGCAGCUCAUCAAGAUAGCCUCAGCUAGUCUCUUAAACAUACUUACGAUAUGUGACAUUUAAAUACUUGUACAUUUGUGCACUGAUCAGGAUUAGAUCAGAUGUAGCAAUGUAAUCUCUGUCAAGACAAUGAGCGUGUCCCACAGUAGAUAAGAAGAAAAAGGUUUAAGAACAUCAGGUUGAUAGACGUGAUACUAAUGCAUAUACUUGGCCAGCAAUGGAAACUACACCCAUCAGCAAAAUCUUGGGAUUAUUUGGUUUCUUUCAAAAUGGUACACCUUUGGAUGACUGUUAGAUGUUUAUAAUAAGUGUUAUACAUGUAAUAAAUAUUAUACAUGUUAUGACAUCCAAGUGUUACACAUUUGGGUAAGUGGGAUCUCAGGAGCUGGCAGCAAUGCCUGCAGCCUCCUGGCUUUGUUUGCAUGAGGAGGAGAAGGCAUUUAGCGUACGAUUAAACGUAAAAGGACCACAGUUUACGAGACAUUGUUAGAAUAUAAUUUAAAUCUAUAAAAAGGAGACACUACUGAAAUUGUUUUGAUGUGGUAUUGUGCAUCCUCUGAACGUACUGCCUUGCAAAUAAAUAGACAAGGAAAAGCAAACUGUGGAUUGCUUUCAGAUGUUUUUCUGGUCCGUUU